AACGGACAAUCAGAUGGCCCAGAGAAUGUUGGCGGGGGUGCAGUUUUCAGCGGGGUGUUUGGAGAUGGCGCCGCAGCGAAGAAGGGACUGAGUAAGGGACUGAAGACGGGAGAGCAAGUCAAGCGGCGUCUGAGGGGAAGCACUGCUGCCUUCCAGACACUGAAAUGUUCUUACUUGUAGGGGCCAGUUCUUCCACGACUUGCAGGCACUUUAUCAGGCAGGAUUAGUACUAUUUCUACGCACAUCGGCAAUGAUAUCCUCUACUGAAGCUUGAACCCCUCAAAAAUCAUCUAUGAGGGUUGGACUCAACUUCCUCCAGACUCCUGUGAAUAUUGAUACUCCUCCCAUGAAUCAUGAAUGUUAUUAAUGGCAUCUGUAGUUAAGAAUCCUUUCCAGAGAUUUUCAAUUGACUUUGCUCAGAUCCAUCAGAGGAAUCACUAUCUAUGGUACCUGCAGUCCCUGGAAAUAUGUUUCUUAAAUAAUAAGGCUUUAAACUCAAAA